CACUUUCUUUGCUUGUCCAUAAAAAGCAAUGUUUCAUCUGUUCAAGUUUUAUCAUAUUACAACAGAACUAAUUCUAGUUCUAUUGCUGUCUCUACCAUAUCUGCAGUUACUUCCUCCUCUUAAGUCCCAAACUCUUCAAAGUCAUCCAUGAGGGUUGGAAUCAACUUCUUCCAAACUGUUAAUGGUGACAUUCUGACCUCCUCCCAUGAAUCCUGAAUGGUCUUAACAGCAUCUAAAAUGGCUCAUCCUGUCCUUUCCCUGCUCCAGCUAUGGAAUCUACCAUAUCUCCAAAGAAUCCUGGAAGAGCCUCUCCUGAGACAAAAUCAUAUAUCAGAAAACUAAUAAGACAGGAAAUUUAAGUACACGUUGAAAGAAAAAGAUACUUUGUUACACGAAGCUGAAGUCAGUGAAACUUGUAACAAGGCAGGCUCAAACAGAGGUACCAACUACAGGUAUUUUAUUUUUAUUUAAUAACAAUAAUGUUUCACUGAUUUCCUUGAGUUCUCAAAGAUCUAAGUAAAUUUUAGUAUGCAAUCCUAUCUUAAAGCUAGGAACCUACAAGAAACAACCAAAUAUCAACCCCAAACAGUGACAAAGUGAUUAUUAGUAGGGCCAAGCUAGGGGGGUGGGAAGGGGAAGCCAUGGUAGCCUACUGCAGGUGUUAAUGCCUGACCUGGGUUACAAUGGGUUCACAUGGGGCUGUUGGUAGCCUGGUCCAGUACUGAGGAGAGUAUCUGUGCAGGAGGGUGGCCUGGUGCAGGCUGGCGAAGCACAGGCAGGGUAAAGAGGGUAUCUCCACAAAGGCAUGGUCUGGCUUCAGGUGAGGAAGGAAUCUGUCUGGGGUCGGGCAGAGGCUAGCGGGUGGGAAGGAUGAGAUGGAGAGGCACCUGGCACAAAGCGUCAGAGCAGAGCUCAGUAAAAGGGACUCCAUGACGAAGAGCAACCUGGCACGGAUGUCAGAGCCCAGACAAGGUAAAAGAAGUGUCAAUGCUGGGUGCGGCGCCAUGUGGUGGCCUGGUGUGUAGUGUUGAGUCCGAGCUGGGGAAAAAGAACAUUUCUGCAAUGGAAAAGGACAUAUCUUCAUUCAAGUUGGGUUACGUAUAGGAGGACUGACCAAAAUAUGAAAAUAUAUUAAGGAUACUAGAAGCCCGUUUUCUAUCAGGAAAGCAAGUGACAAAUAUCGAAAGGGAGAACACUAGAACAAACCUUGUAAUGCUGGAUUAAAAUGGGAAGUAUCAGCAUCAACUCACAGUUUUUAAUAAAUAAAUAUACACAUGAUUUAGGAAUACAGAUGUCAGUGUGUGUAUAUUCACCUGCACACACACAAACAUUCACAACACUUAGUUCCUAGCUCUUUCCACUGAGAAACCAGGGAACAGUGAUAUUCCAAUAACAGCAUAUAUAAUUUCUAGGUCUCCAUUUCUAAACACCAUUCUUCAAAAAAAGGAAGCUGGGUCAGGUAUUGAGCCUGGAACAUCUUGUUAUAUGGAGGGAUAAUACUGGGACAACGGGUGAAACUUGAAAGGGGUCUGAGAAUUAGAUAUUGUAAUUUAUCAAUGUUCGGUUGCUAUGAGAAAAUCUGUUUCUAAGAACUAUACAUGAACCUACUUGGAAGUGAUAGGACUUAAGGUCAGCAACUUACUCUCAAAUACUUCAGAGAAGAAAAAAA
rnacentral:lncRNA from 1 species